AACCAAGGGAAUUCUCUGCAUUUGUCAGUACUACCUGUCGUCAUUGUGGUUAAAUGUAGAGAGAACUGCUGGGCAAGAUGGUGAAUGGAGAAAAAAAAAAAAGAGUUUUAAAGAAAGGAACACAAAUUGUGCUUAAAAUCCCCACGUGGGUUUUAUUUCUUAAAAUACUGUGAUUUUUUUAAUUAUUUUAGUAAAAAACAAAACAAAAAAAGAAACAGACUUUAAUUAUUAGACAAAUGUUUGUGAAUUAUCCUUUAUUCCAGGUAAGCUGUUUUUUAGUGUUCAACUAUAAUUUAGAAUUGGUAGAUUUCGUGUGAGCUAAUUUUAAGGUGACUGUGGAGUUUUGUUUGCCACACGUUUAUCUUCUGUCAGUUUGAGUGUUACAAACACAGCACAAUUCAGUUUUUCAUAUAAAUUGUUUUUUGUGUGUGUGUUAUUGUUGUUUUGAUUUGGGGGCAAGGGAGAUUUAGUUUUUCGUGAAUAGGAACGUUUUUAUUUUAAACAUGGAAAUAACAAAGAACUUUUUUUUUUUUUUUUAAUUUAACUAAAGAACCAAACUUUUCGGCACAGCUAUGCAGCUUGUGGGCCAGACGAGGAAGUCCUCUUCACCCUUUUGUUGCUGUCAAAUUUUACACAUUAUCUGUCUCACACAAAUAAUUUCUGUUAGGAUGGGCUGGCUUUUGUGUGUGAUUUUAAAUCUGUGUUCUGUUUUUGUUUGCAUUGUGUUUUUUGGGGGGUGGGGGGAUUCUCAUUUACUUUGCGGGACAAGGGGAUGUGCUCAAAUCCCAUCCCUUUGGUGAGAGUGUUCACGAAAUACUUAUAUCCUACAAGGAGCCUGGAGAACUACUUUUUUUUUUUUCUUUAAUCUAGCUGCCAGCUGCUCUGUUUCCCCAUAUUAGCUUUUUCAGGAGGGAGCAGCUUAGACUAAAUCUAAGUCUACAUUUAUAAUACGUUCUGAUUGUGAACAAAGGGUUUCGUUCCAAAAAGUAGAACUUUCCUUGAAUCUUAGGUUUUAGAAGCCUGUGUGCGUGUGAGCUUGGAUGUGUGCGUGAGCAUGUGUGUGUAUGUGUGUGAGUCCUUUGGUUUUCAUGUUUUGUUUUUUUUUUUUUUUUUAACUUGGAAGGGUUGGGGGAGGGGGGGAGAAAGGGAAGGGGAAUUGCUGAGAUGACAGUGUCCCACACAGCUUCAAAUAAAAUCCAUGGAAAGAUAUUGCAUUUGUGGAAUAAGUGCUUACUUGAAAAGCAUGUUGUUCUUUUACUUUCUUGCUGUUAAGAAUUUUUAUUUGUAGGGCGUUUGUUUUAAUUUAAUUUUUCUUUUUUAGGGAUGGGGGCCAUCAUGUGGAAACCAGAAAAAGGGAAAGUGUGAACUAUCUAGACAAAGAUUCAUUUUGUGUCCAUAUUUGUUUUUAAUUGGCCUCAUUUCAAAUGUACUAAACAGUUCCAUACCUGGAUUGGGUGUUUGUAAUGGUUACC
rnacentral:lncRNA from 1 species